AGUGGCGGACGGGUGAGUAACGCGUGAGAAUCUGCCUUGGGGUCGGGGACAACCACUGGAAACGGUGGCUAAUACCGGAUAAGCCGAUUGGUGAAAGAUUUAUUGCCCGAAGAGGAGCUCGCGUCUGAUUAGCUAGUUGGUGAGGUAAGAGCUCACCAAGGCAGCGAUCAGUAGCUGGUCUGAGAGGACGAUCAGCCACACUGGGACUGAGACACGGCCCAGACUCCUACGGGAGGCAGCAGUGGGGAAUUUUCCGCAAUGGGCGAAAGCCUGACGGAGCAAGACCGCGUGAGGGAGGAAGGCUCUUGGGUUGUAAACCUCUUUUCUCAGGGAAGAAGCUCUGACGGUACCUGAGGAAUCAGCCUCGGCUAACUCCGUGCCAGCAGCCGCGGUAAUACGGAGGAGGCAAGCGUUAUCCGGAAUUAUUGGGCGUAAAGCGUCCGCAGGUGGCGAUUCAAGUCUGCUGUCAAAGCACGGGGCUUAACUCCGUAAAGGCAGUGGAAACUGAAUAGCUAGAAUGCCGUAGGGGUAGAGGGAAUUCCCGGUGUAGCGGUGAAAUGCGUAGAGAUCGGGAAGAACAUCGGUGGCGAAAGCGCUCUACUGGACGGCAACUGACACUCAGGGACGAAAGCUAGGGGAGCGAAUGGGAUUAGAUACCCC
rnacentral:rRNA from 1 species